CGCCGCCGCGCGCGGCGGGCUACGGGAGGCAGCAGUGGGGAAUAUUGCACAAUGGGGGAAACCCUGAUGCAGCAACGCCGCGUGAGUGAUGACGGUCUUCGGAUUGUAAAGCUCUGUCUUCAGGGACGAUAAUGACGGUACCUGAGGAGGAAGCCACGGCUAACUACGUGCCAGCAGCCGCGGUAAUA
rnacentral:rRNA from 1 species